rnacentral:rRNA from 1 species
AUUGAACGCUGGCGGCAUGCCUUACACAUGCAAGUCGAACGGUAACGGGCCUUCGGGUGCCGACGAGUGGCGAACGGGUGAGUAAUGUAUCGAAACGUACCUUUCAGUGGGGGAUAACGUAGCGAAAGUUACGCUAAUACCGCAUAUUCUGUGCGCAGGAAAGCAGGGGAUCGCAAGACCUUGCGCUGAUUGAGCGGCCGAUAUCAGAUUAGCUAGUUGGUGAGGUAAAGGCUCACCAAGGCGACGAUCUGUAGCGGGUCUGAGAGGAUGAUCCGCCACACUGGAACUGAGACACGGUCCAGACUCCUACGGGAGGCAGCAGUGGGGGAAUUUUGGACAAUGGGGGCAACCCUGAUCCAGCCAUGCCGCGUGAGUGAAGAAGG